CGGUCGUAUAUUGGUAUGACGUUGGCGUCGUUGUCGUCGUCCGAAGACACAUUGGUUUUCGCACUCUAACUUUAGUUUAAGUGAAUGGAUCGCUAUGAAAUUUUACCACAAGGUUCAAUACCACAAAAGGAAGGUAGGGAUUGAUUUUGGGGGUUAUGGUACCAACAGUUAAGGAAUUAGGGGCCAAAAAGGGGCCAAAAAUAAGCAUGUUUGUAACUUCCAGACAUAACUUGUGUGUUAGUGUAUGGAUCUCUCUGACAUUAUACCACAAGGUUCCAUAUCACAAAGGGAAUGCUGGGAUUGAUUUUGGGGGUAAUUGCCUCAAAAUUUUAGGAAUUAGGGGCCAAAAA